CUGCAUUGAUGACUUUCUUAGGACACCUUUGGAUUAAACCAUGAAAAUACUAUGACUUCUGAGCAGC